UCUAGAGAGAGGCCAGAGUCAUUCGUUUGACUCUGGCGGGACAAGAAGAUAAUCGCUACUUGCCUAGUUUUCAGAGAUUGUCACCCGAUACGAACGCUUCAAAGAUAUAGGGGCUUAUAGCUCAGGUGGUUAGAGCGCACCCCUGAUAAGGGUGAGGUCAGAGGUUCAACUCCUCUUAAGCCCACCAUUGGGGAAUUAGCUCAGCUGGGAGAGCGCCUGCUUUGCACGCAGGAGGUCAGCGGUUCGAUCCCGCUAUUCUCCACCAAAGCCUUUAGAAGAAGAGUCGUAUCGAGAGAUAAGACAGAGUCAAAGAGAUAAAAAAUAGAAAUUAACACCGCUUAGAAUCCCUUAGGUCUAAUGCAAGCUCUUUUUUAAAGAGGGUUGGCAUUAGACUUCACUCUUGAGUUGAUCAAGAGAGAUCUCUAAAUGUUAUUUAACAAUUAAUUGUCAAUAGCCUAAAAUAGUAAAAACUACAACCACGCAACUAUCUUGUUGUAACGGAGACGUUCAGCAAGGCAGUGGCGCCAAAGAAUAACUCAUUGGAAUAGAAGUAGAAAU
rnacentral:tRNA from 1 species